rnacentral:rRNA from 1 species
UACGAAGGGUGCAAGCGUUGUUCGGAAUCAUUGGGCGUAAAGCGCGCGCAGGCGGAUCAGCAAGUCAGAUGUGAAAUCUCGGAGCUCAACUUCGAAACUGCGUCUGAAACUGCUAGUCUAGAAUAUCGGAGGGGGCAGGGGAAUUUCAACGUGGUAGGGGUAAAAUCCGUAGAGAUGUGAAGGAACACCGGGGGCGAAGGCGCCUGCCUGGACGAUUAUUGACGCUGAGGCGCGAAAGCGUGGGGAGCAAACAGG